rnacentral:tRNA from 1 species
AGCGGUGUGGCUUAGCGGCUAGAGCACAGGCCUGGGAGUCGUGGGUUCUAAUCCCGCCUCGGCCA